UCUCCGUAGGUGAACCUGCGGAGGGAUCAUUACAGAGUUCAUGCCCUAACGGGUAGAUCUCCCACCCUAUGUUAUCAUCACUUUGUUGCUUUGGCGGGCCGUCAGGCCUCGGCUUGGCUACUGGCUCUCGCUGGUAAGCGCCCGCCAGAGAACCCCAAACCCUGAAUAUCAGUGUCGUCUGAGUACUAUAUAAUAGUUAAAACUUUCAACAACGGAUCUCUUGGCUCUG
rnacentral:misc_RNA from 1 species